CCUACGGGCGGCAGCAGUGAGGAAUAUUGGUCAAUGGACGAGAGUCUGAACCAGCCAAGUAGCGUGAAGGAUGACUGCCCUAUGGGUUGUAAACUUCUUUUAUAAAGGAAUAAAACGAGGCAUGUAUGCCUCUUUGCAUGUACUUUAUGAAUAAGGAUCGGCUAACUCCGUGCCAGCAGCCGCGGUAAUACGGAGGAUCCGAGCGUUAUCCGGAUUUAUUGGGUUUAAAGGGAGCGUAGGUGGGUUGUUAAGUCAGUUGUGAAAGUUUGCGGCUCAACCGUAAAAUUGCAGUUGAUACUGGCAGUCUUGAGUACAGUUGAGGUAGGCGGAAUUCGUGGUGUAGCGGUGAAAUGCUUAGAUAUCACGAAGAACCCCGAUUGCGAAGGCAGCUUACUAAACUGUGACUGACACUGAUGCUCGAAAGUGUGGGUAUCAAACAGGAUUAGAUACCCGGGUAGUC
rnacentral:rRNA from 1 species